AAACCCCGUCUCUACUAAAAUACAAAAAAUUAGCCGGGGGUGGCGGUGUGCACCUUGUAGUCCCAGCUACUCAGGAGGCUGAGGCAGGAGAAUUGCUUGAACCCAGGAGGCAGAGGUUGCAGUGAGCUGAGAUCGCGUCACUGCACUCCAGCCUGGGUGGCAGAGCAAGACUCCGUCUCAAAAAAAAAAAAAAUACGAAAAACAAAAAACAUAAUCUGGAUUGCAGGGCUGAUCGUUGCUAAUGGAGUGUUAUGGCUGUUCAGAUGACAGAGGGAGAAAAUGUACUUUGUAAACUGUUAGUUCAAUGAGGUUAUGAUUGCACAACAAUGUGAACAUACUUAAUGCCACUGAACUUUAUUGCCAUUGAUAACUUUUAAAUGGUAAAUUUUGUGUAUUAUUUUGUCACAAUAAAAAGUUUGAAAAUCGA
rnacentral:lncRNA from 1 species